rnacentral:rRNA from 1 species
CGGAAGGCAGGUUCCAUGAUUUUAACUGACGCUGAGGGACGAAAAGCGUGGGUAGCGAACAGGAUUAGAUACCCUGGUAGUCCACGCCGUAAACGAUGCUAACUCGUUUUUGGGGCGCAAGCUUCAGAGACCAAGCGAAAGUGAUAAGUUAGCCACCUGGGGAGUACGUUCGCAAGAAUGAAACUCAAAGGAAUUGACGGGGGCCCGCACAAGCGGUGGAUUAUGUGGUUUAAUUCGAUGAUACGCGAGGAACCUUACCAAGACUUAAAUGGGAAAUGACCGGUUUAGAAAUAGACCUUUCGCAAGACAUUUUUCAAGGUGCUGCAUGGUUGUCGUCAGCUCGUGCCGUGAGGUGUUAGGUUAAGUCCUGCAACGAGCGCAACCCCUGUCACUAGUUGCUAACAUUAAGUUGAGGACUCUAGUGAGACUGCCUACGCAAGUAGAGAGGAAGGUGGGGAUGACGUCAAAUCAUCACGGCCCUUACGUCUUGGGCCACACACGUAAUACAAUGGCCGGUACAGAGGGCAGCUACCACGCGAGUGGAUGCGAAUCUCGAAAGCCGGUCUCAGUUCGGAUUGGAGUCUGCAACUCGACUCUAUGAAGCUGGAAUCGCUAGUAAUCGCGCAUCAGCCAUGGCGCGGUGAAUACGUUCCCGGGCCUUGUACACACCGCCCGUCAAGCCAUGGAAGUCUGGGGUACCUGAAGUCGGUGACCGUAAAAGGAGCUGCCUAGGGUAAAACAGGUAACUAGGGCUAAGUCGUAACAAGGUAGC